GACGAACGCUGGCGGCGUGCCUAAUACAUGCAAGUAGAACGCUGAAGGAGGAGCUUGCUUCUCUGGAUGAGUUGCGAACGGGUGAGUAACGCGUAGGUAACCUGCCUGGUAGCGGGGGAUAACUAUUGGAAACGAUAGCUAAUACCGCAUAAUAGCAGUUAUUGCAUGAUAACUGUUUGAAAGGUGCAAUUGCACCACUACCAGAUGGACCUGCGUUGUAUUAGCUAGUUGGUGGGGUAGCGGCUCACCAAGGCGACGAUACAUAGCCGACCUGAGAGGGUGAUCGGCCACACUGGGACUGAGACACGGCCCAGACUCCUACGGGAGGCAGCAGUAGGGAAUCUUCGGCAAUGGACGGAAGUCUGACCGAGAAACGCCGCGUGAGUGAAGAAGGUUUUCGGAUCGUAAAGCUCUGUUGUAAGAGAAGAACGAGUGUGAGAGUGGAAAGUUCACACUGUGACGGUAUCUUAACAGAAAGGGACGGCUAACUACGUA
rnacentral:rRNA from 1 species